UACGGAGGGUGCGAGCGUUGUCCGGAAUCAUUGGGCGUAAAGGGCGCGUAGGUGGCCCGGUCAGCGUGCGGUGAAAGCUCGGGGCUCAACCCCGAGUCGGCCGUGCGAACUGCUGGGCUGGAGCACUGUAGAGGCAGGCGGAAUUCCGGGUGUAGCGGUGGAAUGCGUAGAGAUCCGGAAGAACACCGGUGGCGAAGGCGGCCUGCUGGGCAGUAGCUGACACUGAGGCGCGACAGCGUGGGGAGCAAACAGG
rnacentral:rRNA from 1 species